GAGUGGCCAUCAGCGUCCGGAGGAGCAUCGUGCAGUGAUUCUGUGCAGACGGAAGGAAGUUACGUAAGAGAAGCAUCGAGAAACCCACGUCAGGAACCUCCCACCGGGGCUGAACCAAAUGCCCUGAGUUGCCUCAGCCUCUCCGCAGAGUGGCUGUGACCCGAGGCUGUUCAGCUGUUUCUGCUGUGCUCACUGCUUUGGUGUCUGAGCCUGGAUUGGAACAAAGGAAUCAAAUCGAUUAAGAAAAUAGUUCACGCCCACUGGAAAGGAGGAUGGCUCUUUGAGAACUGGAUGGGUGAGUUUCACUAUUCCUGUGAUUACCUUUGACCUGCAGCUCAGAGUAUAGAAGUACAGCUGCAAGUUCUCG